AGCUUGCUGAAGAGGCCAAAAUAGGACGAAACACAAGUCCAGGAU
rnacentral:hammerhead_ribozyme from 1 species